rnacentral:tRNA from 1 species
GUUAUUUUGGCAGAAUAGUGCAAUAGAUUUAGAAUCUUUAAAUGUAAUUUGUAUUACAGAUAACA